CCUACGGGUGGCAGCAGUGGGGAAUAUUGCACAAUGGGGGGAACCCUGAUGCAGCAACGCCGCGUGGGUGAAGAAGUACUUCUGUAUGUAAAGCCCUGUCAGCAGGGAAGAAAAUGACGGUACCUUACCAAGAAGCCCCGACUAACUACGUGCCAGCAGCCGCGGUAAUACGUAGGGGGCAAGCGUUAUCCGGAUUUACUGGGUGUAAAGGGAGCGUAGACGGCAAGGCAAGUCUGUAGUGAAAGCCCGUGGCUCAACCACGGGACUGCUUUUGAAACUGUGUUGCUGGAGUGCAGGAGGGGUAAGCGGAAUUCCUAGUGUAGCGGUGAAAUGCGUAGAUAUUAGGAGGAACACCGGUGGCGAAGGCGGCUUACUGGACUGUAACUGACGCUGAGGCUCGAAGGCGUGGGGAGCAAACAGGAUUAGAUACCCCAGUAGUC
rnacentral:rRNA from 1 species